CUUUUUUAGCGCCAUCUGCUCGCGGCGCCGCCUCCUGCUCCUCCCGCUGCUGCUGCCGCUGCCGCCCUGAGUCACUGCCUGCGCAGCUCCGGCCGCCUGGCUCCCCAUACUAGUCGCCGAUAUUUGGAGUUCUUACAACAUGGCAGACAUUGACAACAAAGAACAGUCUGAACUUGAUCAAGAUUUGGAUGAUGUUGAAGAAGUAGAAGAAGAGGAAACUGGUGAAGAAACAAAACUCAAAGGUAUUACUUUAAAUUACUUCAGGAGCCAGUGAUUGCUGGCACAUGUCUACUAGAGGGUAGUUAUAAGUACCAGUCUAUUUUUUUGGACCCUUGCUCAUUGUCCCAUUUAUCUACUGGUCCAUACUUCUAGUGUGUGUGUGUGUGUGUGUGUGUGUGUGUGUGUGUGUGUGUGUAAGGGGCGGGUAGGUAUAGAUACAGCAACUCAAUUAGAAGUCAUUGUUUGCAUCCUGCACUGUUGGAGUGACUUGGUGUACUUGUGUCAAACAGCUGCCCAUGAGUUUUGUCUGAAUUUAGAAAUGUUACAGGUUGUGAUGUGGUGCUUAUAACAGUA
rnacentral:lncRNA from 1 species